UACGUAGGUGGCGAGCGUUGUCCGGAUUUACUGGGCGUAAAGAGCGCGUAGGCGGCCGAGUAAGUCCGACGUGAAAUCUGGAGGCUCAACCUCCAGCGGUCGUUGGAAACUACUCGGCUAGAGUCCGGAAGAGGAGAGUGGAAUUCCUGGUGUAGCGGUGAAAUGCGCAGAUAUCAGGAAGAACACCGAUGGCGAAAGCAGCUCUCUGGGACGGUACUGACGCUGAGGCGCGAAAGCGUGGGGAGCGAACAGG
rnacentral:rRNA from 1 species